rnacentral:rRNA from 1 species
CCUACGGGUGGCUGCAGUGGGGAAUAUUGCACAAUGGGGGAAACCCUGAUGCAGCGACGCCGCGUGAGUGAAGAAGUAUUUCGGUAUGUAAAGCUCUAUCAGCAGGGAAGAAAAUGACGGUACCUGAGUAAGAAGCCCCGGCUAACUACGUGCCAGCAGCCGCGGUAAUACGUAGGGGGCAAGCGUUAUCCGGAUUUACUGGGUGUUAAGGGAGCGUAGACGGCAGGACAAGUCUGGAGUGAAAUGCCGGGGCUUAACCGCGGAACUGCUUUUGAUACUGUGCAGCUAGAGUGCAGGUGAGGUAAGUGGAAUUCCUAGUGUAGCGGUGAAAUGCGUAGAUAUUAGGAAGAACACCAGUGGCGAAGGCAGCUUACUAGACUGUAACUGACAUUGAGGCUCGAAAGCGUGGGGAGCAAACAGGAUUAGAUACCCGAGUAGUC